rnacentral:rRNA from 1 species
AUUGAACGCUGUCGGCAGGCUUAACACAUGCAAGUCGAGCGAGCGGCGGACGGGUGAGUAAUGUCUGGGAAACUGCCUGAUGGAGGGGGAUCACUACUGGAAACGGUAGCUAAUACCGCAUACCAUCGGAUGUGCCCAGAUGGGAUUAGCUCGUAGGUGGGGUAAUGGCUCACCUAGGCGACGAUCCCUAGCUGGUCCGAGAGGAUGACCAGCCACAGUGGAACGGAGACACGGUCAAGAAUCCUACGGGAGGCAGCAGUGGGGAAUAUUGCACAAUGGGCGCAAGCCUGAUGCAGCCAUGCCGCGUGUAUGAAGAAGGCCUUCGGGUUGUAAAGCACUGUCAGAGAGGAGGCGUUACUCGCAGAAGAAGCACCGGCUAACUCCGGGCCAGCAGACGCGGUAAUAC